GAAAUGCUGGUAUAUGUACCAUUUAGUGGUGAAGUGUAAAAUUAGGUUUAAAACACACUUUUGUAUUUAUUAAUUUUUUUACCUUGUUAAUAUUUAUGAAACAUUCUAAGCAUUCUAAAAUCGUUUAAUGUUAUUAUUUAGAGUAUAUUAUUGUCUUGUACUUCUUGUAAGGUAAUAAUAAUUUGUGAAGUAUUUCAAAUGUAAUUCCAUUAGUUCCUGCUUGCAACUCAUAGGUGGCUAAUCAUUUCAUCCAUGAAACGCAGUUUUUAAUAUUCUCGUUUCUGACGCUUUUAUCGAAUUAUGGAAUUAUUUAGAUGCAUUGGGAUUACAGAAUAUUCUACUAAUUGCAGAAGAACGUAAAAAUCAAGGAUUUUAAAGAUAAAUGGUAUUUUAUCUUUGAGUAGUAUCAUCGUUUGCUGCUAGAUGAUGUUAGUGCUGUCAUUUUCUGAAGAGUACAUUAUUAAUAAUAGUGUAUAAAUGAAGAAAAACAGGCGAGCUUUGGAAAAACCAUGUAUUAUAGAAUAAUAAUAGAUUACAUUGUUCAUGGUAAUAAUGAUAUAGUAAACCAGAAUAUACCUGACAAUAAUAAUAAUAAGAAUCUAAAAUAACACGAAUACUGAAUACAUAUUAUUAACAAUAAUGAGAGGAGGGACUUUGGGGAUGUUUGGCAAAAAAAAGGAAGGGGCCAAACCGCUGAGAACUGCAUUCAAAAUAAAAGAGAAAAAUAAAAUGGGGGACAGGGAGAAAAUAGAAAUACGAUAAAAUAUGAUCUAUGGAUAAACCUAACAUCUUCGACGUGUUUUUUCAUCGUUUGAGCAUUUAAAAAGAAUUGACUAAGCAGCCCGACGUGAAUCGAUUUCAAUCACGUACAGAUCCGUUCCUCCUCGCAGGAAUACAAUAUACUUCGUUGUAUGCAACAAAAUAUGACGUUUGAAAUCAAUAGAACAAGAAAAAAAAAACGAAAACGAAAUAUAAUAAGGAAUGACGGUUGAUUGUGUUUAAGACUUACUGCUAAAUUAAUUAAAGUAAUUGCUGAACAGCAAUCGACGAUCAUUUAAAAAAAAAGCAACGCGUUCACGAGACGCUGAUUCAUAUAAAAUGUAAGUUUUCCUUUCUUUCUUUGAAAAAUAAUAAAAUAUAUAAUUCGUUCUCCGAUUAAACGCGAAACGCUUUUAAUUCUGUUAUACAUUAUAAACAAGGAAAAAACCUUUAUGUAUGUGUAUACGUACAUACUAUGUAUAUAUGGGUGUGUAUGCGCAAGUGUGUGUACGUGUGUGUGAUAUACCCGCGUAUCGCACGCACAACGUGAAAACGUUUCAAUAUUACUGUUUUUCAUUUCCUAUCACGCGAGAAUUUUUCACGGCACGAAAUCACUGCGUUUCGUUUUAUUUACUCUCUGUUCCAUGUAAGCCGAAGACUAAAAGUGCAGGGGAAGAAGAGAAGAUUAAAAAAAAAAGGAUCGAGCACAUUUCUUUUUUCCACUCGAGAACCAGCUCGUUUUAGGAAUUGUACGUGGUUUCCAGACAUCUGGAAAUUUGUUAAAUUGCACCCUGGUCUUGCGGAUUGGUCCUUUCCCACCGGCGCCAUAAUUAUCAAUUCUAACUAGUUAUUCACGAGCUGAGAUCUUAACUUUACUAACGAAGCACCUCGAAUACACUAAACAGAAAAAAUCAUUACAGUGUCUAUGAAUUAAAAGGGGCAAAAAAAAAAAA
rnacentral:lncRNA from 1 species